CAUGCCCCUCGCAGCAGGCAGGCAAUUGGGAAGCAGUGCCAGGGCCUGCUUACAGAGAUUUAGCAACUGCUUUACACUCCCUGGACUGGUCAAACAUACAUGCAUGGCCUCCUUCGCCUCCCGCAGGACCCGACGAACGGCCGCUGAUCUGCAGCGGAGACGGUAACGCGUGCGAACUGUGGUUUCAGCUGCCGGAGAGGGUGAGAGAUUGGCUGUGCGAGGGUGUUUUAAUGUGGGCAGAUGUCGAAAAAAAGGAGCAGUCGGUGUGAUGUGAUGUGUUGUUUGAUAUAAAUGUCAAGCAUGUGUCAUGUCCUUGCACUGUAGAUCACUAAUGACUUCGUGUCAAGGGUGUUAACAAUGAACUGUAAACAUCCCCUUAUCCACUGGACCCGAGAUGUCUAUUUGACUUCUGCGCAUGAACAUCAGGACCGUGGGAUUGGCUACAUCUGAGAGACUUGGCCGUCUGUAAUUGAGCUGCGCAUGAAUAACUUCAUUGUUCUUUGAUCUUCAAAAAAGAAAGGCUAUAGGCAACCAAACAGACCCCCCCACCCCCCUUUUCCCCCCUUUGCAAGGAGCAGUGGAGAGGCCCAUUCAGACGGACCACAGAGCUUAUGCCUGCAGAAACAUGCAGCCCAUUCAUUCUGGAGAGAUAGCGUCACACUAAAAAGUCUAUAUUAAUGCGGCAAGCGGUGCUCUGAAUACAGAGGGCGAGUUCCUUCGUUCACUUGAAGCCGGGGGUGGAAAGGGCGUGCAAUAAAGCCAGCGAGCCAGUAGAUUUCCCUGCAGUGUGAUUCCCUCACCCUGCACACCUCCACACUGGACACAGACGUUAUAGGCACUGCAUAGUAGGAGGAUUAGCAGGAGUUUUUUAAUGUCAUCGUCGCAUUAUUCAUGGAGCAGGCGCGCGGGACUGGAACGUGCUUUGUGAGGGAAAUGUCGGCAGAAUCGUUUUUUAAUGUGGAACCCUGCAAUUUUUAGACAUGGAGACGAGUUGGCUUGUCAUGACGAGUA
ensembl:lncRNA